rnacentral:rRNA from 1 species
GCACGAAAGUUAGCCGGUGCUUCCUUUAAGGGUACCGUCAAGCGGUAUGGAUAUUAGCCAUUCCGUUUUUCGUCCCCUCCGACAGGGCUUUACGAUCCGAAGACCUUCAUCACCCACGCGGCGUCGCUGCGUCAGAGUUUCCUCCAUUGCGCAAUAUUCCCUA